rnacentral:siRNA from 1 species
UCAACCGUCACUCGUCCAGCUGCC